CGAUGAGGUAGAGGAGCAGAUCCUCAUUAGUACGUGUUGGGAGAAUGACACCAAUGAUCAGCAUCGAAAGGGAGAUCUGCCGAAGCAAGAAUAAUUGUCACGUUAUUUUUGUUGGGGCGGCAUUGAAUAAAUGUCGAACUGUCAUUAUAAGUCUAACUUGUAAUGGUGAACUACUGAUCGG
rnacentral:ncRNA from 2 species